rnacentral:tRNA from 1 species
UACCCUAAAAAGUCCUCUAGACAC